GGGGGCGAAACGGCUUCGACGGGGAUAGUUGAAGUUCAGGUUGCAUACCGAGGUUCCAGCUGCUCGUAAAACAGGUGGGCUUAACAUAGAUGCAGAUGAUUAUGCAUAUGCCUUAGCCGCAUAAACAGGCUAACGUCUUCUCGGUCUUUGCCUGCGUGACCGAACAAGACGUCGAUUAGCAGGCUAGCUGAUUCGCCGUACCUGUGGGACGGAAAAGCGAAAACUCACACAGGUUAGCCCUUUGGGAGCCAUGCCCAAUUGCGACCCUCAGGGCGAAACUCAAAAAUUGGGCUAAGUAUGUAGACGCCUGAAUGGAAUGUUUCCGGACCCGGGUUCGACUCCCGGCGCCUCCACCA
rnacentral:tmRNA from 1 species